AAUUGCUUAUAUGACUGACGGAAGUGGAAAUGACCACAGGGAGUAUAAGCCAAGGAAGCCGACCGUCUGGGCAUAUAUG
rfam:Lachnospiraceae bacterium CAG:364 genomic scaffold, scf271